rnacentral:lncRNA from 1 species
AUGUCCUCUACAUCUCUGAGCUCGAGGAGAGAGGAUGAAGGUCCAUUCUCACCAUCCGACUCACAAACAACACUGCUGGGCUUUUAUCUUUGGAGACCGGCCACAUGUCCAUCCAGACCUGACUACCUACGAGUGCACAGUCCUGAGACCUGUGGCAUUAAUAAAGAUAAUGCUGUUUGGAAUAAUAACAGUCACUUCCAUCCAAGAGACACAAGUGUGGCAGAACACAAAAGAAACCAAGAUGAAAGGCUGAAAGUCUGCUUCAUCAUUGUGCCACUUCGUCUACCCUGUAAGGAGGAGGACUCGUGGGCUCCCAAUGUCCAUGACAUAGAUCAACCCUGUUGUCCAUGCACAAGAAAAAAAAGAAGAAGGGAAAUACGAAAAGCUGGAGAGGAUGAGGAGGAGGAGGAGGAGGGGAGCAACGAACCAAGCCAAAGGCUCCACUGAAAUCCAUGGGAAUCUGCAGAUCCAUUCAUUG